CUGUCUAUUGUGGUGGCGUCAUAUAGAUUUGCCAAUGUAUAGUUUCUUCAAAUUGUGAAGUUAAUCCUAAUGUCUCAACUCUGGUCUUGUAGUAUGUUCUUAUAUAACACGUCUAUUGUUCCCGCGGACACCUUUUUCCUAUUGUUCUGGCAAAUUCGUCUCAGUGCAUUCAUCCUCUGAGUCAUCUGAUAUCACAACAGAUCCCAGUCUCCGUGGGGCUCACGUGCUGUUGUUGCUGAUAUUUUGUCUUGACGCCCAUCUUUGUUUAAUGUACUCCCAUUACUGUCAAUGUAGUUUCUCUUUUACACGCACCAGUUUGCAUGAAAGCCUGCUAGGUGAAACUUUAUUAUUCUGUGACUACAUACAUAUAAAUUUUAAAAAUUAGACACAUCUCUAAAAUCUGAAGUGUGUAUAGUUAAAAAAUCAAUCACCUUUUUAUCUGGCAUGUGCUUCUUCAUUAAUUAACAUGGUAUCAUCCAUCAAUUCCUGUGAAACAUAUGUAAGAUGAAUUAGUUAAGGAAUUCUAAAGAUGGUACUUCAUAUUUUUGAAAAAAAAAUGUUAAUGCAACUCUACCUCCUCGGCUUUAUCGUUCAAGUAGAGCAUCUCAAGCCUAUUAUCAGGCACAAAUGUAUUUUUACUGCAUAGUUUUGUGUGUCAAAGGUGAGAUUAUAUCAUUGAGCUUGAAUCAAAAUAUAAGUUUUUCCCAUAAUUGUUGAACAAUCUUUGGUGCUUCUUCUGAUUUCGCAUCCAGUGAGUUCAGCAAGUGAGAUGUAGAUGUAUUAAGCAAGUUAUUGUUCUCUCCACACGCUUCAUUUGUGUUAGUAGUUCAAUAACAUUUGUUUAUUUGGACAUUAUUUAUCAAUUAUAAAUAUUAACUAUCUGGAAGUCGUAAUUACAACUAUCAACAUACCUAAGCAUUGUGUAUCUUUUUCUGUCCUUGUAGUGUACCCAUGGUAGCAAACUCGCGACAAUAAUCCGAAAAAACUUUCGAAGAUCCUUUUAACUUUUACCUGUGUAUUGUAUGAAAAAAUAUAUUUUAAUUUCAUUGCUCAUUGGCCUAUAUUUUGUAGAUUCCACAACCUUAACAUUGCUGAAUGCAUAAAUAGAUUUCUCAUUGAUCUUUGAUCUAAACAUGUCUAUUAGAUUCUUCCAGAUAGUAGCAUGGACUGUUUCACCCUGCCAAAACAAUCAGAUAUGGAUUGACUGAAUCCCACACUCAUUGUGUUCACUUGAAUGUCCUAAUUAUGUCCGCUUGCCAGAAGUGCUUUGGCGUGACUUCUUCCAACGUUGAUUGGAGCAAUUGGGCGUGGCUUCAUCAGGCGUCAAGCAUGCUUUGGCGUAAAUUUGUCGGACGUCAAGUGAAGCAGCUGGGCAUGGAUUUUUCUGGUAGCUCCGAUGACUUCAAUCUGUUCAAGUCAUGGUGAUUGUCGACUUCUAAUUGCUUGGUGUGUGAUUGUGCGGCCGACUGUACUUGUUUAGACGGGUUGAGGUGGCUGAGACGUGUGGAAAUUUGAUCGUAACCUUGUACUAUUUUUUCUUUUUUAAAAUUUUCAUCACAUGAGAUGGGUUUGUAUGUAUUCGUUCCUGUUUUGGAAUUUUCAUCAUGUGAGAUACGUCUCCUACUUGCA